rnacentral:rRNA from 1 species
GGGCGAACGCUGGCGGCGUGCCUAACACAUGCAAGUCGAGCGGUGCAGCUGGAGGCUUCGGCCGAAGGCUGCAUAGCGGCGGACGGGUGCGUAACGCGUAGGAACGUGCCCCCUGGAGGCGGAUAGCCGCGGGAAACUGCGGGUAAACCGCCAUAGACUCGGGAGAGUAAAGGCCGAAAGGCGCCAGGGGAGCGGCCUGCGUCCCAUCAGGUAGUUGGUAGGGUAAUGGCCUACCAAGCCUACGACGGGUAGCCGGUCUGAGAGGAUGGCCGGCCACAAGGGCACUGAGACACGGGCCCUACUCCUACGGGAGGCAGCAGUGGGGGAUAUUGGACAAUGGGCGAAAGCCUGAUCCAGCGACGCCGCGUGGAGGACGAAGCCCUUCGGGGUGUAAACUCCUUUUGUCGGGGAAAAAGGACUGAUGGUACCCGACGAAUAAGCCCCGGCUAACUACGUGCCAGCAGCCGCGGUAAUACGUAGGGGGCGAGCGUUACCCGGAAUCACUGGGCGUAAAGGGUGCGUAGGCGGCCGCGUGUGUCUGGCGUAAAAUUCCACGGCUCAACUGUGGGUAUGCGCUGGAAACUACGUGGCUUGGGUGCGGCAGAGGCAGACGGAACUGCUGGUGUAGGGGUGAAAUCCGUAGAUAUCAGCAGGAACGCCGGUGGAGAAGUC